rnacentral:rRNA from 1 species
GACGAACGCUGGCGGCGUGCCUAACACAUGCAAGUCGAGCGGAGGGAUCCGAAGAGCAAUCCAAGGAUGCCUGAGCGGCGGACGGGUGAGUAACACGUGAGCAACCUGCCUAUCACAGGGGGAUAACGCAGCGAAAGCUGCACUAAUACCGCAUGAGACCACAGUACUGAUGGUACAGGGGUCAAAGGAGCGAUCCGGUGAGAGAUGGGCUCGCGUCCGAUUAGGUAGUUGGUGAGGUAACGGCCCACCAAGCCAAUGAUCGGUAGCCGGCCUGAGAGGGUGAACGGCCACAUUGGAACUGAGAGACGGUCCAAACUCCUACGGGAGGCUG